rnacentral:misc_RNA from 1 species
GACGGCGUGAUCAUCAACGUCGCGUCAUGGGCGGGACGUCACGUCUCGAAGAUGACCGGCCCGGCCUACACCACGACCAAGCACGCGGUGCUGGCGCUGACCCAUUCGUUCAACAUGGACGAAUUCAAGAACGGCCUGCGCGCGUGCUGCCUCUCACCCGGCGAAGUCGCGACGNGAAGCUGCGUCCGGUGCCGCCGUCGGCCGAAGACAUGGCGAAGAUGCUGCAGCCGGAAGAU